GCCUGCCCAGUGAAACUUUCAACGGCCGCGGUAUCCUAACCGUGCAAAGGUAGCGUAAUCAUUUGUCCCCUAAAUAGGGACCGGUAUGAACGGCUAAAUGAGGGCUAAUCUGUCUCCUUUAACCCAUCAGUGAAACUGAUCUACCAGUACAAAAGCUGGUAUAAACCCACAAGACGAGAAGACCCUGCGGAGCUUCAAAUCAAAGCCAACAGACACCAACCAAGACCCCCUGCCUGGCCUAAGAUUUUCAGUUGGGGCGACUUCGGAACAAAACCCAACUUCCGAGCAAGGACCUUAAAUCCCACCAAGACUGACAAGUCAAAAUAACAUGACCCAGUAAUACUGAUAAACGAACCAAGUUACCCCAGGGAUAACAGCGCAAUCCUCUUAAAGAGUCCAUAUCGACAAGAGGGUUUACGACCUCGAUGUUGGAUCAGGACACCCAAUUGGUGCAGCCGCUA
rnacentral:rRNA from 1 species